GGCGGCGCGCCUAACACAUGCAAGUCGAACGAGAGAGAGGAAGCUUGCUUCUUCAAUCGAGUGGCGAACGGGUGAGUAACGCGUGAGGAACCUGCCUCAAAGAGGGGGACAACAGUUGGAAACGACUGCUAAUACCGCAUAAGCCCACAGCUCGGCAUCGAGCAGAGGGAAAAGGAGCAAUCCGCUUUGAGAUGGCCUCGCGUCCGAUUAGCUAGUUGGUGAGGUAAUGGCCUACCAAGGCGACGAUCGGUAGCCGGACUGAGAGGUUGAACGGCCACAUUGGGACUGAGACACGGCCCAGACUCCUACGGGAGGCAGCAGUGGGGAAUAUUGCACAAUGGGGGAAACCCUGAUGCAGCGACGCCGCGUGGAGGAAGAAGGUCUUCGGAUUGUAAACUCCUGUUGUUGAGGAAGAUAAUGACGGUACUCAACAAGGAAGUGACGGCUAACUACGUGCCAGCAGCCGCGGUAAAACGUAGGUCACAAGCGUUGUCCGGAAUUACUGGGUGUAAAGGGAGCGCAGGCGGGAAGACAAGUUGGAAGUGAAAUCUAUGGGCUCAACCCAUAAACUGCUUUCAAAACUGUUUUUCUUGAGUAGUGCAGAGGUAGGCGGAAUUCCCGGUGUAGCGGUGGAAUGCGUAGAUAUCGGGAGGAACACCAGUGGCGAAGGCGGCCUACUGGGCACCAACUGACGCUGAGGCUCGAAAGUGUGGGUAGCAAACAGGAUUAGAUACCCUGGUAGUCACACCGUAAACGAUGAUUACUAGGUGUUGGAGGAUUGACCCCUUCAGUGCCGCAGUUAACACAAUAAGUAAUCCACCUGGGGAGUACGACCGCAAGGUUGAAACUCAAAGGAAUUGACGGGGGCCCGCACAAGCAGUGGAGUAUGUGGUUUAAUUCGACGCAACGCGAAGAACCUUACCAAGUCUUGACAUCCCUUGACGAACAUAGAAAUAUGUUUUCUCUUCGGAGCAAGGAGACAGGUGGUGCAUGGUUGUCGUCAGCUCGUGCCGUGAGAUGUUGGGUUAAGUCCCGCAACGAGCGCAACCCUUACUGUCAGUUACUACGAAGAGGACUCUGGCAGGACUGCCGUUGACAAAACGGAGGAAGGUGGGGAUGACGUCAAAUCAUCAUGCCCUUUAUGACUUGGGCUACACACGUACUACAAUGGCGUUAAACAAAGAGUAGCAAGACCGCGAGGUGGAGCAAAACUCAGAAACAACGUCCCAGUUCGGACUGCAGGCUGCAACUCGCCUGCACGAAGUCGGAAUUGCUAGUAAUCGUGGAUCAGCAUGCCACGGUGAAUACGUUCCCGGGCCUUGCACA
rnacentral:rRNA from 1 species